UACAGAGGUCCCAAGCGUUGUUCGGAUUCACUGGGCGUAAAGGGUGCGUAGGCGGUCGGGUAAGUCUGAUGUGAAAUCUCACAGCUUAACUGUGAAACUGCAUUGGAUACUAUCCGACUCGAGGAACGGAGGGGAGACUGGAAUUCUCGGUGUAGCAGUGAAAUGCGUAGAUAUCGAGAGGAACACCUGUGGCGAAAGCGGCUCACUGGACCGCAACUGACGCUGAGGCGCGAAAGCUAGGGGAGCAAACAGG
rnacentral:rRNA from 1 species